GAUAUGGAGCUGGGUGGGAGAGAGGGAGAUGGAGCUGGAUGGGAAAGUGGGAGAUAGAGCUGGGUGUGAGAGAGGGAUUUGGAGCUUGGUGGGAAAGAGAGAGAGAGAUGGAGCUGGGUGGGAGAGAUAGAUGGAACUUAAAGGUUUGAUGCGGAAGGAGGGGAGAGAGAAUGAUGGAGCUGAGGGGGAGGUGAAGCUUGCUGGGUGAGAGGGGAGGAUGGAGCUAGGGGGAAAGAGGGAGAUGGAGUUGUGUAUGAGAGAGGAAGGUGGAGGGGAGAAAGUGAUAUAGAGCUCAGGGGGGAGAAGUGAAGAUGGAGCUGGAUGGGAGAGAGGAAGAUGAAGGUGUGAGAGGGAGUUGGGGGAGAAAGGGAGACACUGCAUGUAAGGAGAGGGUUCAGGGCAGCAGGACCAUCAUCAGAAGGAUACAGCCCAUAAUCUGAUAAGGGGAAUAGUCAUGCUUUAGGAUCAGCAAGGGUCCCUGUAAUGUUAAGUGGUUCGGCUGGGCACCUCAUUGCGGAAUCGGGUGAUGGUACAGACCCUUUACAAGGUGCAGCCUCUCCACAUGCACGGCCGCACUGAAAGGAAGUGAGGUCCAAUAUAUUUCUCCAAGUGCUCAAAAAUGGUCUUUUCUUCUUUUUUAAAUGAACCGAUAGACAGUUAAAGAAAUAGACAGAAAAAUAGCUAGCUAGUUAACCUUAAAGGUGAGACACACCGAAAGACCAAGUGCACAGAGAUUCAGUCACCGUCUCUCGCAGUGAUUUUGUUCCCAU